UGCUUUGUCGUUGGACGAAUCACGUGGGCUUAAGACACACAAUUUUCGUUCCUGAUAAAGCUUUUCUGUAAACAUGGCUUUCCAUAAAAAUGGCAAAGUCAAGGUCAUGAACAACAUAAGCACGCGAAAUACUUAACCAGUACAAAGACAUGUAUUUAAACAGUUUCACUAAUUAGCGAUCUACAUAAUAAUAUGUUUACAAAUUUGACGACCUCGUCACAAGUAGUUUGCAUACCUAUGUGGAUUAUAAUAAUUUAGAUUUGCUAUUUUUAACCUUUAAUUUCGUACUUAAAUAUAAUUUUAAAUAUAA